rnacentral:rRNA from 1 species
UUCCUACGGGGGGCAGCAGUGGGGAAUAUUGCACAAUGGGGGAAACCCUGAUGCAGCGACGCCGCGUGAGUGAAGAAGUAUUUCGGUAUGUAAAGCUCUAUCAGCAGGGAAGAAAUACUGACCUUACGGUCAGCAGACGGUACCUGACUAAGAAGCCCCGGCUAACUACGUGCCAGCAGCCGCGGUAAUACGUAGGGGGCAAGCGUUAUCCGGAUUUACUGGGUGUAAAGGGAGCGUAGACGGCAGCGCAAGUCUGAAGUGAAAUCCCAUGGCUUAACCAUGGAACUGCUUUGGAAACUGUGCAG